CUCAGGAUGAACGCUGGCGGCGUGCCUAACACAUGCAAGUCGAGCGAGAAAUCUUGGAAUGAGACUUCGGUUAAGUGAAGAGAUGGAAAGCGGCGGACGGGUGAGUAACGCGUAGGCAACCUGCCUUAUGCAGAGGGAUAGCCAUAGGAAACGAUGAUUAAAACCUCAUAAAGCCAUUUUAUCACAUGGUGAGAUGGUCAAAGAUUUAUCGGCAUAAGAUGGGCCUGCGUCUGAUUAGCUAGUUGGUGGGGUAACGGCCUACCAAGGCGACGAUCAGUAGCCGACCUGAGAGGGUGAUCGGCCACAUUGGAACUGAGACACGGUCCAAACUCCUACGGGAGGCAGCAGUGGGGAAUAUUGCACAAUGGGCGAAAGCCUGAUGCAGCAACGCCGCGUGAAGGAAGAAGGUCUUCGGAUCGUAAACUUCUGUCCUUGGGGAAGAUAAUGACGGUACCCUUGGAGGAAGCCCCGGCUAACUACGUGCCAGCAGCCGCGGUAAUACGUAGGGGGCAAGCGUUAUCCGGAAUUAUUGGGCGUAAAGAGUGCGUAGGUGGUUACCUAAGCAGGGGGUGAAAGGCACUGGCUUAACCAAUGUCAGCCCCCUGAACUGGGUACCUUGAGUGCAGGAGAGGAAAGCGGAAUUCCUAGUGUAGCGGUGAAAUGCGUAGAUAUUAGGAGGAACACCAGUGGCGAAGGCGGCUUUCUGGACUGUUACUGACACUGAGGCACGAAAGUGUGGGGAGCAAACAGGAUUAGAUACCCUGGUAGUCCACACCGUAAACGAUGAGCACUAGGUGUCGGGGUCGCAAGACUUCGGUGCCGCAGUUAACGCAUUAAGUGCUCCGCCUGGGGAGUACGUACGCAAGUAUGCAACUCAAAUGAAUUGACGG
rnacentral:rRNA from 1 species